rnacentral:rRNA from 1 species
UACGUAGGGUGCGAGCGUUAAUCGGAAUCACUGGGCGUAAAGCGCACGUAGGCGGCUUCUUAAGUCAGGGGUGAAAUCCUGGAGCUCAACUCCAGAACUGCCUUUGAUACUGGGAAGCUUGAGUCCGGAAGAGGUGAGUGGAACUCCGAGUGUAGAGGUGAAAUUCGUAGAUAUUCGGAAGAACACCAGUGGCGAAGGCGGCUCACUGGUCCGGUACUGACGCUGAGGUGCGAAAGCGUGGGGAGCAAACAGG